CUCGUGGAGGAUCUGAAAGCCGCUCUUGUGCGUUCCUUGCCCGCGGUUCUGGGCUCCUGGGGGAAAGGAAGGUGCUCCUGGCGACUGAGCGCUUGCGUGCGCGACUCCUGAGCACAGAAGGCCACCCGAGGUGGCUUCGAGGUCUUGUCCUAGAAGAUGAGAGAUUCAGAGGAGAAGCCAAAGGAAAGAUAUGGAGAUCAUGAAUAGCAACCUUCCUCCUUUUUCCAGUCCAUUUCAUUUAUUUAACAGCAAUUCAUUUAUUCAUGUAUCGAACAUUUAUUGAGCACCUGCUGUUUGUCAGGCCCCAUUCCAAGCACUGACGACAAAGAUCCUUGCCCUAAUGAAGCUGAAACAAUUACUGUGUGAGAGAGACACAAUAAACAAGAAAAUAUAUAGCGUGUUAUGUGGCGUGAACAAGUAUUUAUUGAGCACUUCUUGUGUGCCAAGCAUUGUUCAAGACUCUGGCGACCAGGUAGUAAAGAAGACAGACAAAAGUCUUACCCAUGUGGUGCUGACGUUCCAGUGAAGAAAACACAGACAUAUAUAGAACUAAACUUAAGAGCCAAGACUAUAAGACUCUUAGGAGAAACAUAAUGGGAACCUUCGUGACAUUGGAUUUGGCAAUGAUUUCUUGGAUUUGACACCAAAAGCACAGGCAACAACAGAAAAAAAUUGGACUUCAUCAAGGUUAAAAACUUUUAAGCAUCAUAGGACACUGUCAACAGACUGAAAAGACAACCCACAAAAUAGGAGAAAAUAUAUAUCUGAUAAGGGAUUGAUAUCCACAAUAUAUAAAGAAUUCCCACAACUUAACAACAAAAAAACAGUUUAAUUCAAAAACAGGCAAAGGAGUUGAACUGAUGUUUCUCUAGAGACAAUAUACGAAUGGCCAGUAAGCACAUGAAAAGAUGCUCAACAUCACUAAUUAUUGAGGAAAUGCAAAUCAAAGCUACAAUGAGAUACCACUUCACAUCCACU